CGGACGGGUGAGUAACACGUAGGUAACCUGCCUGUAAGACUGGGAUAACAUGCGGAAACGGAUGCUAAUACCGGAUAAUCAAUUGCGUUGCAUGAUGGAAUUGGGAAAGGCGGAGCAAUCUGCCACUUACAGAUGGACCUGCGGCGCAUUAGCUAGUUGGUGGGGUAACGGCUCACCAAGGCGACGAUGCGUAGCCGACCUGAGAGGGUGAUCGGCCACACUGGGACUGAGACACGGCCCAG
rnacentral:rRNA from 1 species